rnacentral:rRNA from 1 species
UAGGGAAUCUUCGGCAAUGGACGGAAGUCUGACCGAGCAACGCCGCGUGAGUGAAGAAGGUUUUCGGAUCGUAAAGCUCUGUUGUAGGAGAAGAACGAGUGUGAGAGUGGAAAGUUCACACUGUGACGGUAUCUUACCAGAAAGGGACGGCUAACUACGUGCCAGCAGCCGCGGUAAUACGUAGGUCCCGAGCGUUGUCCGGAUUUAUUGGGCGUAAAGCGAGCGCAGGCGGUUAGAUAAGUCUGAAGUUAAAGGCUGUGGCUUAACCAUAGUAGGCUUUGGAAACUGUUUAACUUGAGUGCAAGAGGGGAGAGUGGAAUUCCAUGUGUAGCGGUGAAAUGCGUAGAUAUAUGGAGGAACACCGGUGGCGAAAGCGGCUCUCUGGCUUGUAACUGACGCUGAGGCUCGAAAGCGUGGGGAGCAAACAGGAUUAGAUACCCUGGUAGUCCACGCUGUAAACGAUGAGUGCUAGGUGUUAGACCCUUUCCGGGGUUUAGUGCCGUAGCUAACGCAUUAAGCACUCCGCCUGGGGAGUACGACCGCAAGGUUG